rnacentral:misc_RNA from 1 species
ACAUUUGUUGAGUCACUCAUCAUCUGAACAGGGGUGUACAUUAAUUACAUUUCACAUUGCCUGUUCUUUACGAACAACUUUAAUAAAAGAAAUAAAUUUAUAAUGCAUCUAUAAUAAAUAAUGCUGAUCAAAGAAGCAUAAAAGCUAUUUAAAAUUAAAAAUUAACAAAUAAAGGGGAAAGAGAGUUUAAGAAGUAGGCACGUGAAUAAUCUCUCAAAUGAAUAACCAAAGAAAAUAAAGUCACAGCAUCAGA